AGUGUAUUUGACAAGCUGAGUCC
rnacentral:miRNA from 14 species